CACGUAGGGUGCAAGCGUUGUCCGGAUUCAUUGGGCGUAAAGGGUGUGUAGGUGGCGCGCUAAGUCGGGUGUGAAAUUUCGGAGCUUAACUCCGAAACUGCAUUCGAUACUGGCGUGCUUGAGGACUGGAGAGGAGACUGGAAUUCAUGGUGUAGCAGUGAAAUGCGUAGAGAUCAUGAGGAAGACCAGUGGCGAAGGCGGGUCUCUGGACAGUUCCUGACACUGAGACACGAAGGCCAGGGGAGCAAACGGG
rnacentral:rRNA from 1 species